UGGGGAAUAUUGGACAAUGGGCGCAAGCCUGAUCCAGCCAUGCCGCGUGUGUGAAGAAGGCCUUUUGGUUGUAAAGCACUUUAAGCGAGGAGGAGGCUACUUGGAUUAAUACUCUAGGAUAGUGGACGUUACUCGCAGAAUAAGCACCGGCUAACUCUGUGCCAGCAGCCGAGGUAAUACAGAGGGUGCGAGCGUUAAUCGGAUUUACUGGGCGUAAAGCGUGCGUAGGCGGCUUCUUAAGUCGGAUGUGAAAUCCCUGAGCUUAACUUAGGAAUUGCAUUCGACACUGGGAAGCUAGAGUAUGGGAGAGGAUGGUAGAAUUCCAGGUGUAGCGGUGAAAUGCGUAGAGAUCUGGAGGAAUACCGAUGGCGAAGGCAGCCAUCUGGCCUAAUACUGACGCUGAGGUACGAAAGCAUGGGGAGCAAACAGG
rnacentral:rRNA from 1 species